UACCGUGAAAAUAAAUGCAAUUCCACCCUCAUUUGUUACUCUACUGCAGUGGCCUCAGUUCCUCUGUCUCUUGCAGCGUUCUCACUAAGUUUUUAUGCGAUUUUGCAGGUGUAACAUGGAGCAGAAGCUGUUGAACUGGAGUGCAGGGUUCCUGCAGUUGUACUGCAAUUUUCCUUCCCUAUUCUGAUCUGUGGCAGCCUGUGGUGUGGCUGAGGAGUGCAGGCUGCUGCAGCCCUCCAUCCUCCUUAUUUAGGGAUGAAGGAGAAGUAGUUGGCUGAAAAGAAAACGCCCUCCCGCGACGUGGCUCGAUGCCCUCGGCCCGACGGCCGAGCGGAGAUGUGAUCGUGCGUGGUGUGGUUUUGCUCGGGGAGAAGAAUAGAUUCAAAAUGUCUUCGUCUUGACAUUUUUUGUAUUAUUUUUCCUUCAUUUUCAUUAUCAUAUAUUGUGUAAGCUAAGACAUAGUUCGGAAUGUAAUAUCGUUGGAUUUUAUUUACUUAAGGAAUAGACGGACACAUUCCCAUUUUCA